CGGAUGACUUGUGGCUGGGGGUGAAAGGCCAAUCAAACCGGGAGAUAGCUGGUUCUCCCCGAAAGCUAUUUAGGUAGCGCCUCGUGAAUUCAUCUCCGGGGGUAGAGCACUGUUUCGGCAAGGGGGUCAUCCCGACUUACCAACCCGAUGCAAACUGCGAAUACCGGAGAAUGUUAUCACGGGAGACACACGGCGGGUGCUAACGUCCGUCGUGAAGAGGGAAACAACCCAGACCGCCAGCUAAGGUCCCAAAGUCAUGGUUAAGUGGGAAACGAUGUGGGAAGGCCCAGACAGCCAGGAUGUUGGCUUAGAAGCAGCCAUCAUUUAAAGAAAGCGUAAUAGCUCACUGGUCGAGUCGGCCUGCGCGGAAGAUGUAACGGGGCUAAACCAUGCACCGAAGCUGCGGCAGCGACGCUUAUGCGUUGUUGGGUAGGGGAGCGUUCUGUAAGCCUGUGAAGGUGUGCUGUGAGGCAUGCUGGAGGUAUCAGAAGUGCGAAUGCUGACAUAAGUAACGAUAAAGCGGGUGAAAACCCCGCUCGCCGGAAGACCAAGGGUUCCUGUCCAACGUUAAUCGGGGCAGGGUGAGUCGACCCCUAAGGCGAGGCCGAAAGGCGUAGUCGAUGGGAAACAGG
rnacentral:rRNA from 1 species